UCCACGCAAGUCUUCGUACAUGAGGCCCCAGGUAUGGUGGAUUUAUUUAAAUCACUUUGAAAUUUGAUAAAUGUAUGUGUGUUAAAGUAUAAUUUUUUUUUUUUUUUCCGAAUAGGACACUCAAAAUUUGGCAGCUACACAUUGAUGGACAAUGAAACAAACAAAAUUUUUGAUCUUCAACUAUUUCAGAGCAACGAAGUCACAUGGAAAAAGAGGAUUAAAACCAGAGGAUAAAGAACCAUGUUUACUGGAGUGCGACUUCCUCCGUGUCUGGCCUGGAAAAGGUUGCCAAAUUAACAUCCUUACUGAACCCCAUACAAAAUGUACACGUUCACAAUAAUCUGCUGUACCCAAAGUGUGAACACCCUGAUGUACUUUCAAGAGAUCGCAAAAAAUGGUUCCAACCAGGUUCACAGGCCCUCUAUAAAGUGGAAAAGAUUUUAAACAACAAGAGAGUUGUGAAGGAUGUUGCAAAACUCAGCCACCAUUAUCAAACAUCUUCACUUAAGGCAUUUCAUAGUGUGAUUCUGCAUUUCACACCAAAGAAUGUUGUUUUUCCUUUUAUUGGAAUGCUGUGCAGGUUAUACCUCGCAGCUAUGCACCAUAACGAAAAUUAUCAAAGUGAACAGGCAAUAACAACCACUGGACAGGCUGUGUACAAAUUUGUAUUUCCAAAAACGAAAAGGGGGAAUGCACGGCAAAACCAGUGAAAACAGAGCCAACAUAUGGCUACGUGAAGGACCUCAUGGUCCUUGUGCUACAUGAAGUCUGUUUGGAUCCAGCACCAUAUGUGGAAGAGCUGCAGUCCAUUCCAGUUCCACCACCUCUUUCCUCUCAAUUUGAGAAACCCUCAAAAGAGCAUGUUAUUUCACAUCAUGUUUCUAGAUUUAAUCAAGAGGAGGCCGGAACCCAACAUACUGUCCUGCUGCAUUCGGAAACUCCUGGCGUAUCUGACACACCACACAUGACGGGAUGACAACCCUCACAUCACGUCCUAGCCAGCCCCAGUACCAGCUAACAAAGCUGCGAUAUGACAGAAAACGGAAACGCCUAUGGCAAUAAAAGGAAACGGAUGUCAGCAUUGCAUAUCAAACUUUGCAAUUGUACAUAUGUGUAUAUAUUUAUUGUCUAUUUAAGUUUUUUGAGACUGGUUUUCAGUGAUUUGUACUUGGUAACUUAAAAUACAUUUAAUAACAUUUAUUUAAAUACAUUUUACAAAAACUUACUCUUCAACAUUUCUGUGUCUCAACGGUCCAUAGUCUGCCCUGUAUAUAUUAUUUAUAUUCUGUAAUGUGUACAUGUUUAAACAAUUGGGUUCAAAACCAGGAUGGUUGCAAGUAGAAGGGUCUGAACCUGCAUCAUGUGCUAGACAAUCUAAACCGUAAUGUAUGACAAUGAAUUUCUGUGUGGUCAACUUGCAUGUAUCCUUUAUGAAAAGUGCACUAUUAGUCAAGCUAAGAAAAAUUAAUGGAAAGCCAUUAAUGCAUUUACAUUACCUUCUGUGUUUCUUUGCAACAGAUAUUUUCUACUUCUGUUGGCAUUUUUUUCACAGUUAUUACACGUGCGCCUAAAGAAAAUUAAAUGUAUUCCCAUAACAAAAAAUUAGCUUGAUUUGUAUAUGUUACCACAUAAUUAUUGGUUGCUCUUAUAACAUUGAACAUUCAUCAAUAAAAUAAACUGACACUAGAUGUAAAAUAAGAAAAAAAGAUGUUAUCAAGCCAAGAGCACUUCAGAAAUCCAUUCAAGACCGCAGCAAUUCAGUGUUUAGCACACAUAUUACUGUUACGGUAAUUUCGUGACCGUUUUACUCAAAUAAAAAUAUCAUUUAUUCAUUUUUCUGUAACGCAUGUUUCAUUAUGUAUGUACAAAACUGCGCUGUUUUCAGUAUAGGUUCGUCCGUGCUUUCAUUUUUGUAAGUAUUAUAUUCAAUCAUUUAUUCAGCAUAGCCAUACCCUUUAUAAAUACCUGAAGUGCAUUUUAAUUUGUCCUAGCCUUAUUACGAUACAAUACCAUUACGAUUGCAUUUUUAUGGCGUGGUUAAACCUCAAGUGAACGAGAAAACAAAAUAGAUCGUUUUACCUGCUAUCUAUUAGAAACGGAGACAUUACAGCC